rnacentral:rRNA from 1 species
CUGCUCAAUGAAUUUAUUUAAAUGGCCGCAGUAUUUUGACUGUGCUAAGGUAGCAUAAUCAAUAGUUUUUUAAUUGAAGACUAGAAUGAAUGAGUUGAUGAAGUUUAGGCUGUCUCAAAUUUAAUAAUAAAAAUUUAUUUUAAGUAAAAAGUCUUAAAUGAUUAUAAGGGACGAGAAGACCCUAUAGAAUUUUAUAUUUUAUUAAAUUAAAUAUUAAAAGAUUUGUAGAAUUUAAUUUAGUAAAAUAUUUGAUUGGGAGGAUAAUUAAAUUUAAUUAACUUUAAUUUAAAAUGAACAUAAAUAAAUGAAUUUAGGAGUUAAGAUUAAUUAAUAUAAGAAAAAUUACCUUAGGGAUAACAGCGUAAUAUUUUUAGCGAGUUCAUAUUAAUAAAAAUGUUUGCGACCUCGAUGUUGAAUUAAAAUAAAAUUUAAAUGAAGAAGUUUAAUAUUUGAGUCUGUUCGACUUUU